rnacentral:tRNA from 1 species
GUCCUUAUAGCUUACAACAUAAAGCAUGGCACUGAAGAUGCCAAGACGGUAGACUAAGCCCACCUGAGG